rnacentral:rRNA from 1 species
AGAGUUUGAUCAUGGCUCAGAACGAACGCUGGCGGCGUGGAUAAGACAUGCAAGUCGAGCGGGAUUUCUUUCUGUAGCAAUACAGAGAGAAGUCUAGCGGCGAACGGGUGCGUAACACGUGGGCAAUCUGUCUUAAAGUGGGGGAUAGCUCGGCGAAAGCCGAAUUAAUACCGCAUGUGAUCAGGGAAGACAUCUUUCCAAAAUCAAAGGUGGCGCAAGCUACCGCUUUUUGAGGGGCCCGCGGCCUAUCAGCUUGUUGGUGAGGUAACGGCUCACCAAGGCUAUGACGGGUAGCUGGUCUGAGAGGACGACCAGUCACACUGGGACUGAGACACGGCCCAGACACCUACGGGUGGCAGCAGUCGAGAAUUUUUGACAAUGGGGGAAACCCUGAUCGAGCGACGCCGCGUGGAGGAUGAAGGUCUUCGGGUUGUAAACUCCUGUCAUUUGGGAACAAGGCGCAAGUAUUAACUGUACGUGCGUUGAUAGUACCAGAAGAGGAAGAGACGGCUAACUCUGUGCCAGCAGCCGCGGUAAUACAGAGGUCUCAAGCGUUGUUCGGAUUCAUUGGGCGUAAAGGGUGUGUAGGUGGCGCCGUAAGUCGGGUGUGAAAUUUCGGAGCUUAACUCCGAAACUGCAUUCGAUACUGCGGUGCUUGAGGACUGGAGAGGAGACUGGAAUUUACGGUGUAGCGGUGAAAUGCGUAGAUAUCGUAAGGAAGACCAGUGGCGAAGGCGGGUCUCUGGACAGUUCCUGACGCUGAGGCACGAAGGUCAGGNNACAAACGGGAUUAGAUACCCUAGUAGUCC